CAUGCCGCGUGAGUGAUGAAGGCCCUAGGGUUGUAAAACUCUUUCGGCGGGGACGAUAAUGACGGUACCCGCAGAAGAAGCUCCGGCUAACUUCGUGCCAGCACCGCGGUAAUA
rnacentral:rRNA from 1 species